GCUUAUGUAUGAGGGCCUAUUCAGGAGCCGGUCACCACCCUGACACCACGCCUUCUUGAAAGGUCUCCCAGAGUACCGCAUCUUCCUGCUACUCCAGAGACAAACAUCCCCAACCUCACUUAAAACUGCAUUAUGGGAGAGCAGCAGAGAGAAGAGUCAGAACAAGGAAUAACAUUCAGAAAGUAGUUCUGCUUAAAGUCUACCACAAUAAGUUACUCUGUGUAAGAGAAAGUGAUGGAGGAAGUGCACAUCACUAAAUUUAAUAAUCAGAGGGAUUUAUAAAAGGUAGCUGCGUUUUCUUCUAA